CCUACGGGUGGCUGCAGUGGGGAAUAUUGGACAAUGGGGGCAACCCUGAUCCAGCCAUGCCGCGUGUGUGAAGAAGGCCCUCGGGUUGUAAAGCACUUUCAGUGAGGAAGAACGCCUGGUGGUUAAUACCCAUCAGGAAAGACAUCACUCACAGAAGAAGCACCGGCUAACUCCGUGCCAGCAGCCGCGGUAAUACGGAGGGUGCGAGCGUUAAUCGGAAUUACUGGGCGUAAAGCGCGCGUAGGUGGCUUGAUAAGCCGGUUGUGAAAGCCCCGGGCUCAACCUGGGAACGGCAUCCGGAACUGUCAAGCUAGAGUGCAGGAGAGGAAGGUAGAAUUCCUGGUGUAGCGGUGAAAUGCGUAGAGAUCGGGAGGAAUACCAGUGGCGAAGGCGGCCUUCUGGACUGACACUGACACUGAGGUGCGAAAGCGUGGGUAGCAAACAGGAUUAGAUACCCUGGUAGUC
rnacentral:rRNA from 1 species